GCGCGCUUAACACAUGCAAGUCGCACGAGAAAGCUCCUUCGGGAGUUAGUAGAGUGGCGAACGGGUGANUAACGCGUAAGUAUCUACCCUUGGGUGAAGGAUACCUUCUGGAAACGGAAGUUAAUCCUGCAUAAGCUUUACGAAGGAAAGGUGGCCUCUCGCUACCGCCGAAGGAUGAACUUGCGUACUAUUAGCUAGUUGGUGGGGUAAUAGCCUACCAAGGCGAUGAUGGUUAGCCGGCCUGAGAGGGUGUACGGCCACACUGGGACUGAGAUACGGCCCAGACUCCUACGGGAGGCAGCAGUGGGGAAUUUUGUGCAAUGGGCGAAAGCCUGACACAGCGACGCCGCGUGGAGGAUGAAGGUUUUCGGAUCGUAAACUCCUGUUAAAUAGGAA
rnacentral:rRNA from 1 species